GCUAGAGGAUGGGGGCAUGUACCUGUAAUUCCUGUUACCAGGGAAGCUGUGCUUCUGAGCUCAGGUGUUCUGAGCCACAGUGGGCUAUGCCAAUUGGGGGUCCACACCAAGUACUGCAUCAGCAUAGUAAGCCCCUGGGUAGGGGAGACACUGGGUUGCCAAGGUUGGGGCAAACAGUCCUAGAUUGGAAACAGAGGAGGUCAAAUUCCUGUGCCAAUCAGAGGCAGGAUUAAGCUUAAGAUUUUAGUCACUGCAUUUACAGCCUGGGAAAGAUGGGGAGGA
rnacentral:SRP_RNA from 1 species